GAUGAACGCUAGCUACAGGCUUAACACAUGCAAGUCGAGGGGAAACGACAUCGAAAGCUUGCUUUUGAUGGGCGUCGACCGGCGCACGGGUGAGUAACGCGUAUCCAACCUGCCCACCACUUGGGGAUAACCUUGCGAAAGUAAGGCUAAUACCCAAUGAUAUCUCUAGAAGACAUCUGAAAGAGAUUAAAGAUUUAUCGGUGAUGGAUGGGGAUGCGUCUGAUUAGCUUGUUGGCGGGGUAACGGCCCACCAAGGCAACGAUCAGUAGGGGUUCUGAGAGGAAGGUCCCCCACAUUGGAACUGAGACACGGUCCAAACUCCUACGGGAGGCAGCAGUGAGGAAUAUUGGUCAAUGGACGAGAGUCUGAACCAGCCAAGUAGCGUGCAGGAUGACGGCCCUAUGGGUUGUAAACUGCUUUUAUAAGGGAAUAAAGUGAGUCUCGUGAGGCUUUUUGCAUGUACCUUAUGAAUAAGGAUCGGCUAAUUCCGUGCCAGCCGCCGCCGUAA
rnacentral:rRNA from 1 species